rnacentral:lncRNA from 1 species
ACAUUUUGUUCAUGGACAUGAGAUGGAAAAACAAGAUGAAAAUGAUUCUUUUAUUGAGUAUUCAAUUUAAAAACGUCACGGCUUUGCCAUUAGUUUGUAUAAAUCCUAGAGAUGAGUUUUAAACGAGAGUGUGUUAUUAUGUUGAGGAAAGCUGGAAGUGUAUAACCUUGGGCAGAUCAUUUAACAUCUCUCUGCUUUACAUUUACAGGCAGUAAUACAAAGAGACAGGAUUAUAUGAUCUCCAAGGUCCCAUCCAGCCGAUUGAACGCACUCUGAUUAUUUGAAAGGCCAUUUGGUGUGGUAGUGAGGAUCCUGGGCUCUAGAACCAGACAGCCUACAUUUAAAUCCUGCUUCACUCCACUUAGUAGCCACAAUAUAUGACAUAGGGUUUAUUGUAACCCUACAAGCCUCAGUUUCCUCACUGGUGAAAUGAACAUAAAACACUCAUAGGAUCCUUUUGUGUAUUAAACAUACUCAGCUUUGUAAACUGUUAGCAUUGGAUUUAACACAAAAUCAAUAAACAGUAGUGUGAACAAUUGCCAUUUAUUUUAUAUUGUAAAUUAAAUUUUUUUUCCUUUAACAACAAAAAAUAACUUUCCUCAGAAUUUGGGAUGGUAUGAUUUUUCAUGGUUUAAACUCUUUAAUCUACUUAACACCUACGCUAUGUUUUGAAGCAUAAAAAAUAAUUCAAAGCAUUAAUUUCAUUUAUUUAAUCCCAAAUAAUUGGUUUGAUUGUUUUCACUCUCUUUCAUCCCCUACCUUAGUAGGAUAAGAUUCAAGACCUACCUAAAUUCAAGACCUACCUAAAAAGCUGCUUUGGAGACUUAGAAAUUUCUGAUAUGCUAGGGUGCCAUCACAUGGGUCACCAAUAAUGAGAGAAUGAAUAAUAUUUCUCCAAAUCACAGUCUGAACAAUAACUUAUUAUAAUAUAGACAAACAGAAAUAUUUUUGAGAUCUAUGUUUUUGAAUAAAAAGUUUGAAGAAAACUCGUUAAUGAAUUAUGCUCUGAUGCAUCUUUCUAAUACCCUUAUAAGUGUUCAAAUUCUCUUUACAUGUAUGAAGGCACUGAGACUCAGGAAGGUUAAGGAGUUUGCCUAAGGCCACACAGAAGUGACAACACCAAAAUUUAAGCUCAGUCUGACUUUAGCAUCUGAGCUCUUAAUUAGACUGAUUUUAGCACAAAGGUCCUCUGUUCGUUCAGCCUUCUGCCUUCUGUUUUACACAAAGUCUAUGGUCUCUCCAGAUACUAAGCUGCCUCAUUAUAUCUAUCUAUCUAUCUAUCUACCCAUACAAUCACCUGUCUAUCUAUCCACCCACCCAUCCAUCCACCAAAGCAUGUUUUUGUCUAUUAAAAUAAGACUGGUAGGAUUUGAACUCUUCAUUCAUGGCCAAUGAAUAAAGUUUCUCAGAUAUAGUUUUAAGUAUAAUACACCAAAUUUAAAAUUAGGUCACUACAAGUAGUCAAAGAUUAAGGUAAAAGAGAUAUUCAUUUCCUUCCCCUUCCACCUUCCUCCUCAUCCCUCCAUGGGAAAAAAAAAAAAAAGUCACUAAUAUGUUGCACAUUGUAGGAAGAAAAAUGACUUUACCUAUUUUUUUGUUCUCUUUUCUUUUUACUAGUCCCUAUAUUUGUAGGCCUCACAUGGAAAAUUAAUUUCUGCUUUAUUCUUGUAAGCUUAGUUUUAUCUUCCUAAAUAUAUCCUUCUUAUCAGAAGCCAAUCAAACAUUUUGCUCUCCCCUGUUUAUAAGUUGUCCUACUUUAUGUUUCUGAUUCUGUUUAUCUCUGAUGCUUUUUUCUUCUUUUUCAUAGGCAUUGUGGUGCUGGAGAUUUGGAGGCACCCCUAGGCAGCCUCUUAACUUUCUGAACCUCAGGCCAGUCAACCUAAUUCAUGUGAGCCCUGAAGAGGAGACAGGGAAGGUGGCACAGCCAGCCAGCCAGAGGACUUCACUAGUCCAUUUCUCACUGGGUAGAGCAUGGAUGGGCAGGUAGACACAUCUGCAGUUAAGUUUUCAGGGCCACCCCACUUCAAGGCCUUUGGGGAUAAGCACAUUGGAAGCUUGGCCAAUGUUUUGAUCCAUUUGUGCUGCUAUGUCAAAAAUACCAUAAACUGGGUGGCUUAUAAAAACAGUUAAUUUAUUUCUCACCGUUCUGGAGAACUCCAAGAUCAUGGCACGGGUGUCUGGAGGUGCCCACUUCCUCACAGAUAGCGGUCUCUGACAUCACAAGGAGAAGGGGUGAGCUGGCAUUCUGAGUUCUUUUUUACGUGGACACUGAUCAUGCAGUCUCCACUCUCAUGACCUAGCCACCUCCCAAAGGCCCUACGUCCUACUACCAUCACCUUGGAGGUUAGGUUUCAACAUACGAUUUAGGGAGGAAACAAACAUUCAGACCAUGGCGGUAUCAUUUGCCAACUUUGAGUCUCUGUCUUCUCUAAUGACCCCUAAUUUCUCCAUUGUUUUCUUUUUCAAGAGUCAAUCUCACUCCACAUCUAUGUUUUCUCACCAGUGUCAAGUUUAUCAGUUUGGACAAGAUAUUAUUAUGCUGUAGUAAUAAACAACUUCAACAUUUCAGUGGCUUAAAAUGACAAAGGUCUAUUUAUUACUCAUGUUUCGUUUCACCCAAAGACCCAGGAAGCAGUCACCUACUUGAACGUUGCUGGUUACUAUUCCAGAAAAAGGAAAGAACUUGGCAGAAUUUUGUAUUGGCAAUCAAAUACUCAGCCACUGGUCAAGGCACUGAACUAGACAUGAGUUUCCCCAACCUCAAGUACAGUCCAAUAACACAGCA